CUUAUUACCACCCUGACAACCACGUGGCGAAUCUUAAUUUAUUUUUACUGUUCAUAUUUGUUCAACGAUAGAAAAGAAUUUUAGAAGAAUAAAGAAUGGAUAGAACAAAUAUUAACAUCUAAAAACAACCCCAAUUAUGCUGGAAUGCAUAUUGAACCAGAUACAAUUAAUCUGGAGGGAAAUUAGCGUACUUGGUUUCCAGCAGAUUUCGUAAGCGUAGUUAACACGGUCAGACGAAUAUCUUAUUGCGUGAAAGUGGAACGAAACGUGUAGCUUCUGCGAAUGAAAGCUUUUAACAAGUCGUGCCAACAGGCCUUUCGCAUUAAAGGAGGAGAAAUAAAGCGAUUACAAUUGGCGGCGGUCCAACGCUUCCCAUUGAAGGGUGUUCCACGGGCUAACCUGGCGUGUACAUCGUGUAAUUGCUGGCUUUAUACACGCUUCGGAGCCUGCGCUUUCAUGAGAAUACAAAUUGCUCCUAAACGCUAAUGUUGGCAAUAAAAAACAUAACGAGUGAUAAGGAGAUUAACCUGGACAGUUCGUAAAUAAACCGAUAGAAAUUUGAUCGAGUGCCAUGCACAGAUGUGCACCGUUCUCACCUAGGUAAACAUUAAGUAGACAAAUAGUUGUGCUAUUUGUUCGAUAGUAAUUAGAAUUCUAAUCAUAGAGAAAUUUUGUUCAUCUCUGAAGCUAAGGCCAUAUCUCGAUGGAUGAAUGUGAAAUUUUAACAACGUGUAAAUUAAGAUUGCGUUAAUAUAGUUGAAAAUCUUUUUCAUGAUGCAAAAGUAAAGAUCAAGGUAAUAUUAGGAUUUUGUAUUGCUUCUAAUUCAGACGAGU